GGGGGUGUAGCUCAGUGGCAGAGCGCGUGCUUAGCAUGCACGAGGCCCUGGGUUCGAUCCCCAGCACCUCCA
rnacentral:tRNA from 2 species